AAUAACUACCUCUUCUUGAGGCAUAUGCGUGUCUCCAAUCGCAUAGAAAUUAUUUCUUAACAGUUACAUUUAUUCUUCAGUAGGCUAAAACGCAUUUUAGUAGGUGAGUUAUCAGUCUGUGUAUCUGAAAAGGUGGAUUAGUUGCUCAGUAAACUGUAAUUAACAACUCUAAAGAGAGGAGACAAAUCACAAUUUAGAAUCUAUUUGGCAA